CAAUAGCGUAUAUUAACGUUGUUGCAGUUAAAAAGCUCGUAGUUGGAUUUCUGGAUGGAGCGUCGGCCCGUAUUUACGAGUGCGUGACGUCUCUGUCCAUCCUUGCGGGAAGGCACGGCAUUGAUUUGUUGUGUCGGAUCGCAUCAUUUACUGUGAAAAAAUUAGAGUGUUCAAAGCAGGCUUUCGCUUGAAUACAUUAGCAUGGAAUAAUAAGAUAGGACUUUGGUGCUAUUUUGUUGGUUGAGCCUAAAGUAAUGAUUAAUAGGGAUAGUUGGGGGCACCUGUAUUGCGUUGUCAGAGGUGAAAUUCUUGGAUUUACGCAAGACAAACAGCUGCGAAAGCGUCUGCCAAGGAUGUUUUCAUUAA
rnacentral:rRNA from 1 species